rnacentral:tRNA from 1 species
GGUCCCAUGGUGUAAUGGUUAGCACUCUGGACUUUGAAUCCAGUGAUCCGAGUGGCACCU